GAAAUGCGAUAAGUAAUGUGAAUUGCAGAAUUCAGUGAAUCAUCGAAUCUUUGAACGCACCUUGCGCUCCUUGGUAUUCCUUGGAGCAUGCCUGUUUGAGUAUCAUGAAAUCUUCAAAGUAAAUCUUUUGUUAACUCAAUUGGUUUUUACUUUGGUAUUGGAGGUCUUUGCAGCUUCACACCUGCUCCUCUUUGUUCAUUAGCUGGAUCUCAGUGUUAUGCUUGGUUCCACUCGGCGUGAUAAGUUAUCUAUCGCUGAGGACACUGUAAAAGGUGGCCAAGGUAAAUGCAGAUGAACCGCUUCUAAUAGUCCAUUGACUUGGACAAUACUUUUAUGAUCUGAUCUCAAAUCAGGUAGGACUACCCGCUGAACUUAAGC
rnacentral:misc_RNA from 1 species